UUAUAUGGAAUGUACCGCUGGGUGCCGCUGUCCCUCUACCUUUCUAGGAAUUGGGGGCUAUUUGUGAUCACAGCUCGGCGGGUGACACUUCCAUUUAUGUCUCAUUUAAUAUUUGAAAGGACAGCUUCUUCGUCCGAAGGCAAAACAUCUUCUACUGAAGUCAAAAACUCUGGCAUUUUGAGCGUGCUAAUGACAACUGGAUUAAAUUCUUUUUUCUUUGAUCUUGUUUUUUCUGUUGCUAAUUAUCACUGUGUCCGAAAAUAGUAUCAUCACCUGAAAAAUGUCUUGGUUUGUUUCUAUUCUCGAUGUCUUUCUUCAGUGGAACUGCCUACAAAUGUUUGUAUUCUUUAUGACCCGCUUCGAUGACAUCUUCUGUUAGUUGGCCUAUAGGUAUAUUAAUCGAAUGUAUUAUGUCAGCUCCAUGAACCAUCCAGUGUUUUUCUUUUUAAAUCGGCUAACCAUAUGAUUUGAACUUCGCCAUUUGGAUAAAAGUUUUGACACAAAUAGUUUUACAACAGUUUUAUGUGCCUUAAGAAUUCAUCAGACGCUUCACUUACACUAAACUUAUCCACUAUAUACUUUACUAAUCAUUCAGUGCACUGCGAUGACGAUAAAUUAAAAAAAUUGUCAUGUUUUAGAACGAAAAACAGUUCUCUUCUUUCUCAUGUGAAGUCGGAUCGUUGUGACUACCUGCGAAUAAACAGGCAUAAAUAUUAAAGGGGGGACAUAAAUGGAAGUGUUGCUUGCUGAGCUGUGAUCGCGGGUGGCCCCCAAUUCUUGGAGGGGUGGAGGGAUGGCGGUACUUAGCGGUACAUUUUGUAUAAACUU
rnacentral:lncRNA from 1 species